UGGAGAGUUUGAUCCUGGCUCAGGACGAACGCUGGCGGCGUGCCUAAUACAUGCAAGUCGAGCGGACGGAUGGGAGCUUGCUCCCAGACCGUCAGCGGCGGACGGGUGAGUAACACGUGGGCAACCUGCCUGUAAGACUGGGAUAACUCCGGGAAACCGGGGCUAAUACCGGAUAACUCUUUUCCUCACAUGAGGRAAAGCUGAAAGAUGGCAUCUCGCUAUCACUUACAGAUGGGCCCGCGGCGCAUUAGCUAGUUGGUGAGGUAACGGCUCACCAAGGCAACGAUGCGUAGCCGACCUGAGAGGGUGAUCGGCCACACUGGGACUGAGACACGGCCCAGACUCCUACGGGAGGCAGCAGUAGGGAAUCUUCCGCAAUGGACGAAAGUCUGACGGAGCAACGCCGCGUGAGUGAUGAAGGUUUUCGGAUCGUAAAACUCUGUUGUCAGGGAAGAACAAGUACCGGAGUAACUGCCGGUACCUUGACGGUACCUGACCAGAAGCCAACGGCUAACUAACGUGCCAGCAGCCGCGGUA
rnacentral:rRNA from 2 species